GAUUGAAGGCCCUCCGGAGCCGCCCUUCGGGGGAGGCUUCAAACUGCCCUCUGCCGCGUUGACUGAAGACCGUCGUGGUGAGCGACGAGGGAAAAGGCGCACGUGAUGCGUCAGGU
rfam:Frankia sp. ETN1f ctg00054, whole genome shotgun sequence.